rnacentral:rRNA from 1 species
UACGUAGGAUCCAAGCGUUGUCCGGAUUUACUGGGUGUAAAGGGUGCGCAGGCGGACUUAUAAGUCAGAGGUGAAAUCUCACAGCUUAACUGUGAAACUGCCUUUGAUACUGUAGGUCUUGAGUUAGGGAGAGAUUCGUGGAAUUCCGAGUGUAGCAGUGAAAUGCGUAGAUAUCUGGAGGAACACCGGUGGCGAAGGCGGCGUUCUGGACUGUUUCUGACACUGAAAGACGAAAGCCAGGGGAGCAAACGGG